UACAGAGGUCUCGAGCGUUAGGCGGAAUCACUGGGCUUAAAGCGUGUGUAGGUGGAUGCCUAAGUACCUUUGUGAAAUCCCACGGCUCAACCGUGGAACUGCUUGGUAUACUGGUCGUCUUGAGGCACUCAGGGGCGAGCGGAACAGAUGGUGGAGCGGUGAAAUGCGUAGAUAUCAUCUGGAACGCCAAUGGUGAAGACAGCUCGCUGGGGGUGUACUGACACUGAGACACGAAAGCCAGGGGAGCGAACGGG
rnacentral:rRNA from 1 species